UAGCUCAGUUGGUAGAGCAUGGUGUUUGCAACACCAGAGUUGUGGGUUUGAUUCCCAC
rfam:Salmo salar isolate Sally breed double haploid chromosome ssa12, whole genome shotgun sequence.